CAAAACGUUCACAAACAGACACUAUGCGUACAAAACGGCAAGUUCAAGAAAGGGGUGCCGGCUAAUAAAGGAGCAAAGCUCAUGGGAAGCCGGGCGAUGAAGUCUGGCGAUGACUCAGCGGGCGGCAUGGCAGCUGGACUUUCACAAACAGGGGGCGGCUGCUGAAGUCCACAGCCCGGGGACUUCUUGGAAACCCUAGCAGAGGGGAUUGCCAUCAGGCCCAGACCCGAAAUGCCCCCAAGCCUGCUCUGUCACACCCGAUGUUGUCCGGCACGUCUGCAUGGCAGCCACCCCAGGCCAAGGCAGCCACUCAUGCUAUCACACGCCCCGCGUGAUUCCCAGCCUACACCCCUGCACAGCCAGUUUGGUGAAGGAGAAACGGGAGUCCUACCGAAGCUUGACAGAGAUUUCAUCAUCACUCUGAUGAAGACAUCUCAGAUCCACGCGCAGAUGACAGCCCAGAGGAAGGAAUGUGCACCUGGACAGACUACUGGCGGAAACACGGGAACCAGAGGAGCACCUUGGACGCAAGACGAAACCUUUCCUGGAGUCGGGAAACCCCGGGCUUCCUCCGCCCGUCCCUCCGUGGGCGGCUCCACUCGCCCUGCCAGCCUCCUGGAUUGAGACACCCAGACUGACCCUGUGCCCUGAACCUCAGACCACGGCCCCAACGACUUGCUCAACAUCUCCCCCGGGGUGUCAGACACACCUUCACACCAGCACCUCAAAGACGAGACCCAUACCUCCCACCCCGCCUCAGCUCCACUGGUUCAGCUGUGAGAAACUGUCUCCACAUAAUCCAGGCUGAAGCAAGAAAGACGUUCAUCUUUUCUUUUUCUUUUUCUGUCAGCAUUGUUCACAACAGCCAAGACGUGGAAGCGACCCAAGCGCCCAUCGGCCGAUGGUUGGAUAAAGAAGAUGUGGUAAUAUAUACGCGGUGGAAUACUACUCAGCCCUUAAAAAAGACAAAAUUGUCACAUUCCUAACAACAUGGACAUAAUACCCUGGAGGGAAUUAUGCUAAGUGAAAUAAGCCAGACCGAGAAAGACAAACACCAGAUGAUUUCACUCAUACGUGGAAGAUAAACUAAC